rnacentral:rRNA from 1 species
CAACGAAUCUUCCGCAAUGCGCGAAAGCGUGACGGAGCAAUGCCGCGUGCAGGAUGAAGCCCCUCGGGGUGUAAACUGCUGUCAGGGUUCAGCAACACAAUGAGCAGACCCAAAGGAAGGGCCGGCUAACUUCGUGCCAGCAGCCGCGGUAAUACGAAGGGCCCGAGCGUUGCGCGGAAUUACUGGGCUUAAAGCGUACGUAGGCGGGCGUGCAGGCACUUUGUGAAAUCCCCCGGCUCAACCGGGGAAUAGCUUGGUGAACCGCACGUCUUGAGACAAGUAGGGGCUGUCGGAACGAUAGGUGGAGCGGUGAAAUGCGUUGAUAUCUAACGGAACACCGAAGGGGUAACCAGGCGACUGGACCUGUCCUGACACUGAGGCACGAAAGCGUGGGGAUCAAACAGGAUUAGAUACCCCCGUAGUCCCUGAGCGGGCUGGCAAGGCGCAU